AGGUACACAUGUUGUGUUUAGGUACACAUGUUGUGUUUAGGUACACAUGUUGUGUUUAGGUAUACAUGUUGUGUUUAGGUACAGUAAUACACAUGUUGUGUUUAGGUGCAGUAAUACACAUGUUGUGUUUAGGUAUACAUGUUGUGUUUAGGUGCAGUAAUAUACAU